rnacentral:lncRNA from 1 species
UUGUUUGUCUCCUUGCUAUGGUUGGUGAAGAUCCCUAAUAGAUCUCCCCUGGCAGAUGUCGGGUGUUAAAAUCUCUCCAUAUAGAGUCAGCCCCAUAAGCAGAAAGUGUUUGUUAUCUUUCCUUCUGCAAGUUCCCCACUGAGAUAUAUCCUCGUGGAUGACGGUUUCUUCCGUUUCCUCCCAACAUAUAUAUUGGGAUGGAUUUUCCUAUGUGAGUUACAUUCUCAUUAGG